rnacentral:rRNA from 1 species
GACGAACGCUGGCGGCGCGCCUAACACAUGCAAGUCGAACGGAGCUGCGAGAAGCUUGCUUUUCUUAGCUUAGUGGCGAACGGGUGAGUAACGCGUGAGUAACCUGCCCUGGAGUGGGGGACAACAGUUGGAAACGACUGCUAAUACCGCAUAAGCCCACGAUCCGGCAUCGGAUUGAGGGAAAAGGAUUUAUUCGCUUCAGGAUGGACUCGCGUCCAAUUAGCUAGUUGGUGAGGUAACGGCCCACCAAGGCGACGAUUGGUAGCCGGACUGAGAGGUUGAACGGCCACAUUGGGACUGAGACACGGCCCAGACUCCUACGGGAGGCAGCAGUGGGGGAUAUUGCACAAUGGGGGAAACCCUGAUGCAGCGACGCCGCGGGGAGGAAGAAGGUUUUCGGAUUGUAAACUCCUGUCGGUAGGGACGAUAAUGACGGUACCUAACAAGAAAGCACCGGCUAACUACGU